GACGAACGCUGGCGGCGUGCUUAACACAUGCAAGUCGAACGAUGAAGCCGGAGCUUGCUCUGGUGAAUUAGUGGCGAACGGGUGAGUAACACGUGAGUAACCUGCCCUUGACUCUGGGAUAACUGCGGGAAACUGUAGCUAAUACCGGAUACGACCCUCGGAGGCGUCUCCUGGGGGUGGAAAGAAUUUCGGUCAAGGAUGGACUCGCGGCCUAUCAGCUAGUUGGUGAGGUAAAGGCUGACCAAGGCGACGACGGGUAGCCGGCCUGAGAGGGUGGACGGCCACACGGGGACUGGAACACGGCCCAGACUCCUACGGGAGGCAGCAGUGGGGAAUAUGGCACAAUGGGCGCAAGCCUGAUGCAGCAACGCCGCGUGAGGGAUGACGGCCUUCGGGUUGUAAACCUCUUUUAGCAGGGAAGAAGCGAAAGUGACGGUACCUGCAGAAAAAGCACCGGCUAACUACGUGCCAGCCGCCGCCGUAA
rnacentral:rRNA from 1 species